GAUGAACGCUAGCGGCAGGCCUAACACAUGCAAGUCGAACGGUAACAGCAGAGCUUGCUCUGGCUGACGAGUGGCGCACGGGUGCGUAACGCGUAUACAAUCUACCUUAUACUGGGGUAUAGCCUGAAGAAAUUUGGAUUAAUCCCCCAUAGUACUUAUUAAUGGCCUCAUUAAAGAGUUAAAGUUUCGGUGGUAUAAGAUGAGUAUGCGUCCUAUUAGCUAGUUGGUAUGGUAACGGCAUACCAAGGCAACGAUAGGUAGGGGUCCUGAGAGGGAGAUCCCCCACACUGGUACUGAGACACGGACCAGACUCCUACGGGAGGCAGCAGUGAGGAAUAUUGGACAAUGGGAGGAAUCCUGAUCCAGCCAUGCCGCGUGCAGGAAGACUGCCCUAUGGGUUGUAAACUGCUUUUAUACAGGAAGAAUAAGGAGCACGUGUGCUCUGAUGACGGUACUGUAAGAAUAAGCACCGGCUAACUCCG
rnacentral:rRNA from 1 species